rnacentral:rRNA from 1 species
ACAUGCCUACAACACAACAUUAAUGCAUUGGAGCCCAUUAGAACUCUGCAAUUAAGCGCGCUUGGGCUAGAGUAGCACUGGGAUGGAUGACCACCUGGGAAGUCCUAUUAUUUUACAUGCC